CUGGGCAUCUCGGUAAAAUGCAGGUCUGGAGUGGGGCCCUGGAUUCUGCAUUUCUAGCAAGCUCCCAGGUGAUG
rnacentral:miRNA from 1 species